rnacentral:RNase_P_RNA from 1 species
AGGAAAGUCCGGACUCCCGAAAGACCAAACUUGCUGGAUAACGUCCAGUGCGAGCGAUCGUGAGGAUAGUGCCACAGAAAGAUACCGCCAAAACAGUUAGGAGUUAGAAGUUAGGAGUUAGGAAUUAUUAACUUUUAACUCAUCACUCAUAACUCCUAACUAAAUUUGGUAAGGGUGCAAAGGUGCGGUAAGAGCGCACCAGCAGUAUCGAGAGGUGCUGGCUCGGUAAACCCCGGUUGGGAG